UAAGGUUGUCUUUCUCUCAGGAUAGGUA
rnacentral:piRNA from 1 species